GCGGACGUAGCCAAGUGGAUCAAGGCAAU
rnacentral:tRNA from 8 species